rnacentral:rRNA from 1 species
AGGACGAACGCUGGCGGCGUGCUUAACACAUGCAAGUCGAGCGGAAAGGCCCUUCGGGGUACUCGAGCGGCGAACGGGUGAGUAACACGUGAGCAAUCUGCCCCUAGCUCUGGGAUAGCUCCGGGAAACCGGGAUUAAUACCAGAUACAACCACUUUAGACAUCUUUUGUGGUGGAAAGGAUUCCGGCUAGGGAUGAGCUCGCGGCAUAUCAGCUUGUUGGUGAGGUAACGGCUCACCAAGGCGACGACGGGUA